rnacentral:rRNA from 1 species
CCAGACUCCUACGGGAGGCAGCAGUGGGGAAUAUUGCACAAUGGGGGAAACCCUGAUGCAGCGACGCCGCGUGAAGGAAGAAGUAUUUCGGUAUGUAAACUUCUAUCAGCAGGGAAGAAAAUGACGGUACCUGACUAAGAAGCCCCGGCUAACUACGUGCCAGCAGCCGCGGUAAUACGUAUGGAGCAAGCGUUAUCCGGAUUUACUGGGUGUAAAGGGGGCGCAGACGGCGAUGCAAGCCAGGAGUGAAAGCCCGGGGCCCAACCCCGGGACUGCCCUUGGAACUGCAUGGCUGGAGUGCGGGAGGGGCAGGCGGAAUUCCUGGUGUAGCGGUGAAAUGCGUAGAUAUCAGGAGGAACACCGGCGGCGAAGGCGGCCUGCUGGACCGCGACUGACGUUGAGGCUCGAAAGCGUGGGGAGCGAACAGGAUUAGAUACCCGUGUAC